rnacentral:rRNA from 1 species
CCUACGGGUGGCAGCAGUGAGGAAUAUUGGUCAAUGGGCGUAAGCCUGAACCAGCCAAGUCGCGUGAGGGAUGAAGGUUCUAUGGAUCGUAAACCUCUUUUAUAAGGGAAUAAAGUGUGGGACGGGUCCUGUUUUGUAUGUACCUUAUGAAUAAGGAUCGGCUAACUCCGUGCCAGCAGCCGCGGUAAUACGGAGGUCCCGAGCGUUAUCCGGAUUUAUUGGGUUUAAAGGGUGCGUUGGCGGCCUUUUAAGGCAGCGGUGAAAGUCUGUGGCUCAACCAUAGAAUUGCCGUUGAAACUGGGAGGCUUGAGUAUGUUUGAGGCAGGCGGAAUGCGUGGUGUAGCGGUGAAAUGCUUAGAUAUCACGCAGAACCCCGAUUGCGAAGGCAGCCUGCCAAGCCAUGACUGACGCUGAUGCACGAAAGCGUGGGGAUCAAACAGGAUUAGAUACCCCUGUAGUC